rnacentral:rRNA from 1 species
GACAGAGGUCCCGAGCGUUAGGCGGAAUCACUGGGCUUAAAGCGUGUGUAGGCGGAUCGUUAAGUACCUUGUGAAAUCCCACGGCUUAACUGUGGAACUGCUUGGUAUACUGGCGAUCUUGAGCCACUUAGGGGCAACCGGAACAAACGGUGGAGCGGUGAAAUGCGUAGAUAUCAUUUGGAACGCCAAUGGUGAAAACAACUCGCUGGGGAAGUGCUGACGCUGAGACACGAAAGCCAGGGGAGCGAACGGG